CCACCACCAGGACAAUCCCUAGCCAAGUGCCCAUAACCUCCGCAGCUAAAGCAAGCACCGUUGCCGCUGCCACUCCCCCCACCAUUAUUGGCUCGCGGACAGUCCCUGGCAAAAUGCCCAGAAUUGCCACACUUAAAACAACCACUAUUGUUAUUAUCACUGCCUCCUCGAUCAUUACAAUCCCUAGCGAUAUGACCAUGGCUCCCACAGUUGUAACAACCUGCCGACCCGCUAC
rnacentral:misc_RNA from 1 species